UUGACGGUAAUACCAUAGACAAAAAUAUUCGACUGUGGGACACGUCACACAUAUUUUUAUACACUAUUUUCGUUAUUUUGUUUAAUGGUAUGAUUUAUAAUAUAUCAAUACGAGUGAAGGUCCCUAGUCUAUACAAUGUUAGAAUGCCGAAUAGAAUUGCCUACGGGGUAAUAUUUACAUAAAUUAAAUAAAACUAAUCUACUAAAAAAACGCGCCUUGGCGCAAUUGUGG